CCGGGUAGUAGGGGGGGCUAAUGAGAACAUAAUGGGCUCAAUCAAUUGUUUCCUUGAUUGAACACGCCCUCUAAUUUCCUCAUCAACAGCUGGACACAAGCCAGGGACGCUACGCUGAGAAGACCGAGACUGCGCUCCCUGGACACUUCAUGAAAUACAUUAUAAACCAUUGGUCACCAACAUGGUACCUGCGGUGAGCAGACGCUGGCAAAGUGCGUCCCAUGCUGCCGGGUCACGUCUCGACUAAGGGUGGUACAGAGAGAUACGGGUCCCCGGACUCUGCGCUGGUGGGCCGCUUGUGUGCGGGUGGUCCGGUCCAGGUGGAGGAGGGAAGGAUUAACACCACGCGUGCCACAAAGGGAAAAGGAUGGAGUAAACAAGAAAUGGAGGGAAGAAGAACAUCUUGGAGACAUAUGUGCUCCGAGGCCUGCAGAUCUGCUUCAUGAAGGCGCUGCACUCACUUAACUUUUGAGCAAAACUGAAGCAAUAACCUGUUCUGCAUUUGCUCUGUGCAUUUCCUAGUCACAGUGUCAGAGUUACUGUAAUGAUACAAAAACUCAAGCGCACACAGAGCAACUUCUGUGUUCUAAUUUUGUUAUGUUUGACUUGCACAUAAAUGACUCUUUUGAGUUCAACGGAGCAUUUUUGGAAUCAUAGAUAUCAAUGAAAGUAACGUACAACGCACCAGCAGAUUCACCAAUUCACUUUUUUUUUUUUCAGUUUCUGUUUACAGAACUAACUGAAGGCAAUCUUUUGAACAAGUCUCCCGUGUUUCGAUGAAGACUUUCUCUUUUGGCCCUCGCCCGACCCUGCGUGUUUGGAUGUCGCCAGCGAGGAGGCAGUGUGGAAAAACAAACGUGGACAACUUCAGUACACGUUACCUGGAACUGUUAAAUGUUAUUUUGGUUUAUGCUGUGCUUAUUAGCCGCUAUUAGUGUUCCUCAUACCGUGUGUGUGUGUGUGUGUGUGUGUGUG